GAUGAUUGAGGAAAGUGGGAACAAGCGGAAGACCAUGGCAGAGAAGAGGCAGCUGUUCAUAGAAAUGCGUGCUCAGAAUUUCGAUGUCAUACGACUAUCAACUUAUAGAACAGCUUGCAAAUUACGAUUUGUACAAAAGCGAUGCAACCUCCAUCUUGUUGAUAUCUGGAACAUGAUUGAAGCCUUCCGAGACAAUGGCCUUAAUACACUGGACCAUACCACUGAGAUCAGCGUGUCCCGCCUCGAAACUGUCAUCUCCUCUGUCUACUACCAGCUGAACAAGCGCCUUCCUUCUACUCACCAAAUCAGUGUGGAGCAGUCGAUCAGCCUCCUCCUCAACUUUAUGAUUGCUGCAUAUGACAGUGAGGGCCGAGGCAAGUUGACCGUAUUUUCAGUUAAAGCUAUGUUAGCAACGAUGUGUGGUGGAAAAAUGCUGGACAAAUUGAGAUAUGUUUUCUCCCAGAUGUCAGAUUCCAAUGGCUUAAUGAUAUUUAGCAAGUUUGACCAGUUUCUGAAGGAAGUUCUGAAGCUCCCAACAGCUGUCUUUGAAGGGCCAUCUUUUGGUUACACAGAGCACUCAGUCCGCACCUGUUUUCCACAGCAGAAAAAGAUCAUGCUAAAUAUGUUUUUAGACACAAUGAUGGCCGAUCCUCCCCCCCAGUGCCUUGUCUGGCUACCUCUCAUGCAUAGGCUUGCCCAUGUUGAGAAUGUCUUCCACCCUGUGGAGUGCUCCUAUUGCCGGUGUGAGAGUAUGAUGGGCUUCCGGUACCGAUGCCAGCAGUGCCACAACUACCAGCUCUGCCAAAACUGCUUUUGGCGUGGCCACGCCAGCGGCCCUCACAGCAACCAACACCAGAUGAAGGAGCACUCCUCCUGGAAAUCCCCUGCAAAGAAGCUGAGCCAUGCAAUUAGUAAAUCUUUGGGGUGUGUACCCACCAGAGAACCCCCACAUCCUGUUUUUCCUGAGCAACCAGAGAAACCACUUGACCUUGCAAAUAUAGUUCCUCCUCGUCCUCUGGCCAACAUGAACGACACCAUGGUGAGCCACCUGUCCUCUGGGGUGCCCACCCCCACCAAGAGGUUACAGUAUAGCCAGGAUAUACCCAGUCACUUGGCCGAUGAGCAUGCGCUGAUAGCCUCCUAUGUGGCCCGUCUGCAACACUGUGCACGUGUCCUGGACAGUCCUAGCCGACUGGAUGAGGAACACCGGCUUAUAGCUCGCUAUGCUGCCCGGCUGGCUGCAGAAGCAGGAAACGUGACUCAAGUUAUGGCUUUGGAGGAGGAGGAGGAGAAAGAGGAGACCCGUCCUCCUACUGACUUGAGCUUUAACUUUGAUGCCAACAAACAACAAAGACAGCUUAUUGCAGAACUGGAAAACAAAAACAGGGAGAUCCUGCAAGAGAUUCAGCGUCUCCGUCUGGAGCAUGAGCAGGCUUCCCAGCCCACCCCCGAGAAGGCCCAGCAGAACCCCACGUUGCUGGCUGAGCUGCGGCUGCUGAGGCAAAGGAAAGAUGAACUGGAGCAGAGAAUGUCGGCGCUGCAGGAGAGCAGGCGCGAGCUGAUGGUUCAGCUGGAGGGGCUGAUGAAGCUGCUGAAGGAGGAAGAGCAAAAGCAGGCAGCUCAGGCCACAGGAUCACCACAUACAUCCCCCACUCACGGAGGCGGCCGCCCGAUGCCCAUGCCUGUCCGCUCAACGUCUGCUGGCUCCACCCCCACCCACUGUCCGCAAGACCCACUGAGCGGAGUCGGGGGAGACAUGCAGGAGGCCUUUGCACAAGGUACGAGGAGAAACCUCCGCAGUGACCUGCUGGUGGCCGCUGAUUCCAUCACCAACACCAUGUCAUCCCUGGUGAAGGAGCUCCACUCAGCAGAGGAAGGUGCAGAGGAAGAAGAAAAGAAGAUGCAAAGUGGGAAAGAAAGAGGUUAGCAGAGGAGCCGGGACAGAGAGGAAGCGCGGGGUCUGUGCCGGCGCCCCAGGGUUCCGACACCCAGAGCUCUGAUCUGCCUUGGAACCUGGCCACAGACACGUAUUUCCGUCCUCCAGGGUCACAUCCACUCCAAUAGAGCCAACCAAGCCAUUUCCUGUGGUGCCUGCCAACCCUCACCCCCUCGUCCUAAAAAAUUAAUGAAAAUACAGAUUUCCCUCUGGGACAGUGCUCACUGCUUUAGGAGGUAGUCUUUCACGUCUUUCCAUCUGAGGACCUUGACUCUUCUCCCAGUUCCAAGACAGUGAGGCUCCGGGGCCUGCUUGCUAGAAAGAAGGGAUGAAAAUAAUUGGACAACCAGUCUGUUCAGAACAGUUCUUUGGAAGAUAGAUGUCUUUGGUUUGGCCGCGAGAUGUCUCUUUAUUUGUCAAUCUUUCUUUCCCUCCCCUCCCCCACUUCUUGUGUUUAAAAGUUAGGCCGUCUUCCUCAGUUACAGAUCUUCCAGGCAGAAAAGCCAGGGCUGCAGCCCCAUGAUCCCAAAAAAGGAACGUCUCCAGGCCUUUUCCUGCCGGCCCCACCCCCCACGUGCACCCGGCCCUUGAGGGGCUCUGUUCUGCCAGCGCUGCGGGACCUGCCUUCUCGUCUCGGAGCCUGCACUGACUCAGGGAUUGUGCAAGCCUCUAUGGGAAGCACCCAAGCUGCAGAAGUUCUCCCGCUGCCCUGGAAAUCUCAGGGCCUCCAGGGCUUGGGCAGGGUUUUACCUAAAUUCACUGCACAUUCAGGCAAGGCCCUUCCCAACAGCAGGCCUAGGCCUCUGCAGCCAACGAGGGAGUCAGGAGCUGACUUGCCCCUCGGGAGCUUGCCAGAGCCCCCCUCCCCGGGGGCACAGAGGAACUGGGGGAUAAGGAUAGGCACGCCAGAGCCAUCUGGCCCCCCCUCUUCCUGCAGAUGAGGGAAUGAAGAAGGCCCACGGCCUGGGAGCUUGGUGCCAGAACUAGAAGCAGAGCUGGGUCUCCUGACGCUGUCCUCAGACCUCAGAUCGGGAGUUAGGAGAAACUCAUCAGGAGUAGAGAGUCAAGUGAAAAGCAUAAAAACUCAGGUGGCUCAGUUUCACAGACCCUUAAGUUCUGCCCUCUUCCAGCCUGAAUCUAAGGCUGUCGUCCCUGCCACCCAGUGUUUGUAAGCACCUCUCCGAGCUCAGUGCCCUUCUCCUCGGUCACAAUCCUUCUUCCCAAAAAAGCACCACAUUCCAAACCUCGCACUGUAAACCCCGUUCUUUCUUCCCAGAAACGUUUCCUGACCCUGUGACCCCAGCAGCAACUCCCAAAAAACUCUAGGUACCCCCCACAAAAGAGAAAGCCCCUUUCCCUAAAAAGGAGCACGAGUAUUAUCGACUCUUUGCAUCUUCUGAGUUGAAAGGCACAGGGGACAUGCAGCAAGCUGGCGUUGACAUGAGGAAGGCGAGAUCUUCCCCCAGAGGCGCAUUCCUGUCCAUCUUUCGGCUGCACACCUGGACCAGGCUUGCAGGCUGCCAGACGUCACUACCUGGCAGGAAGAGGGGAGCCCAAGCCGGUGGGAAAUGGGAGGGACUGCCUGAUGCCGCUGCCGCCGGUGGGCCUCCCCCUUGCACAGUCCUGCAUGAACUAGCAUCUUCCUCACUCCCCUCGGGCCACGGUCUCAUCUCUGCAACAGGAAUUUACCGGGAGGUUGAAAAGAGAAAAGAAACAGCACGAAUCUCC